rnacentral:rRNA from 1 species
UACGUAGGGCGCAAGCGUUAUCCGGAAUUAUUGGGCGUAAAGAGCUCGUAGGCGGUUUGUCGCGUCUGCCGUGAAAGUCCGGGGCUCAACUCCGGAUCUGCGGUGGGUACGGGCAGACUAGAGUGAUGUAGGGGAGACUGGAAUUCCUGGUGUAGCGGUGAAAUGCGUAGAUAUCAGGAGGAACACCGAUGGCGAAGGCAGGUCUCUGGGCCGUAACUGACGCUGAGGAGCGAAAGCGUGGGGAGCGAACAGG